UGGCUCGUAGCUCAGCCGGUAGAGCGGCGCUCUCAUAAGGCGCCUGUCGCAGGUUCAAAUCCUGCCGAGCCAACCA
rnacentral:tRNA from 1 species